CCUACGGGGGGCAGCAGUGGGGAAUUUUGGACAAUGGGCGCAAGCCUGAUCCAGCCAUGCCGCGUGCAGGAUGAAGGCCCUCGGGUUGUAAACUGCUUUUGUACGGAACGAAAAGCCUCUCUCGAAUAAAGAGGGGUGAUGACGGUACCGUAAGAAUAAGCACCGGCUAACUACGUGCCAGCAGCCGCGGUAAUACGUAGGGUGCGAGCGUUAAUCGGAAUUACCGCGGGCGGUGUUGCAAGAGGGUGGCGAAAUCCCCGGGCUCAACCUGGGAACGGCCAUUGUGACUGCAAGGCUGGAGUACGGCAGAGGGGGAUGGAAUUCCGCGUGUAGCAGUGAAAUGCGUAGAUAUGCGGAGGAACACCGAUGGCGAAGGCAGUCCCCUGGGCCUGUACUGACGCUCAUGCACGAAAGCGUGGGGAGCAAACAGGAUUAGAUACCCCAGUAGUC
rnacentral:rRNA from 1 species